UACGUAGGGUGCAAGCGUUGUCCGGAAUUAUUGGGCGUAAAGAGCGUGUAGGCGGCUUGACAGGUCUGCUGUGAAAACUCGAGGCUCAACCUCGAGAUGUCGGCGGAAACCGUCUGGCUAGAGUCCGGAAGAGGAGAGUGAAAUUCCUGGUGUAGCGGUGAAAUGCGCAGAUAUCAGGAAGAACACCUAUGGCGAAGGCAGCUCUCUGGGACGGUACUGACGCUGAGACGCGAAAGCGUGGGGAGCGAACAGG
rnacentral:rRNA from 1 species